rnacentral:rRNA from 1 species
UACGUAGGGUGCAAGCGUUGUCCGGAAUUAUUGGGCGUAAAGAGCUCGUAGGCGGUCUGUCGCGUCUGCUGUGAAAACUCGGGGCUUAACCCCGGGCCUGCAGUGGGUACGGGCAGACUAGAGUGCGGUAGGGGAGACUGGAAUUCCUGGUGUAGCGGUGAAAUGCGCAGAUAUCAGGAGGAACACCGGUGGCGAAGGCGGGUCUCUGGGCCGUAACUGACGCUGAGGAGCGAAAGCGUGGGGAGCGAACGGG